AGUUGGAAACGGCUGCUAACACCCGAUGUGCCCUUAGGGGUGAAAUAUUUAUAGCCUGAAGAUGAGCUCGCGUCUGAUUAGCUAGUAGGUGCGGUAAUGGCGUACCUAGGCGACGAUCAGUAACUGGUCUGAGAGGAUGACCAGUCACACUGGGACUGAGACACGGCCCAGACUCCUACGGGAGGCAGCAGUGGGGAAUUUUCCGCAAUGGGCGCAAGCCUGACGGAGCAAUACCGCGUGAGGGAGGAAGGCUCUUGGGUCGUAAACCUCUUUUAUCAGGGAAGAACACAAUGACGGUACCUGAUGAAUCAGCAUCGGCUAACUCCGUGCCAGCAGCCGCGGUAAUACGGAGGAUGCAAGCGUUAUCCGGAAUUAUUGGGCGUAAAGCGUCCGCAGGUGGUUAUGAAAGUUUGCUGUCAAAGCGCGAGGCUCAACUUCGUACGGGCGGUGAAAACUUCAAGACUAGAGCUAGGUAGGGGUCACGGGAAUUCCCAGUGUAGCGGUGAAAUGCGUAGAUAUUGGGAAGAACACCAGCGGCGAAAGCGCGUGACUGGGCCUGAGCUGACACUCAUGGACGAAAGCUAGGGGAGCGAAAGGGAUUAGAUACCCCWGUAG
rnacentral:rRNA from 1 species